UACGUAGGGUCCGAGCGUUGUCCGGAAUUACUGGGCGUAAGAGCUCGUAGGUGGUUGUCGCGUGUUCGUGAAACUCACAGCUUAACUGUGGGCGUGCGGCGAUACGGGCAGACUGGAGUACUGCAGGGAGACUGGAAGUUCCUGGUGUAGCGGUGGAAUGCGCAGAUAUCAGGAGGAACACCGGUGGCGAAGGCGAGUCCCUGGACAACACCUGACACUGAGGCACGAAAGCUAGGGAGCAAACAGG
rnacentral:rRNA from 1 species